CUCUGCCUCACACAUUAUGCUGUGGGCGAGGGGUCGUGUUCCUGGAAAACAAAAAUCCCUCCACUUAAAGUCUGUGUGGGCACCUCCCCGCAUACAUCAAGGCAGCACAAUAAGAAGGGGAGAAUGGCGUGAGAGCAGGUCCCGGUGAGGGUAAGAGCUGGCGGCAUAUCCAGGCAACGCGCCCUUCCCAGUGGCCGGUGCUCUUCCCCAAGUGCUGCUGCCACAACACUAGCCCUGUGGGCCAACGUCACCAGUGCCUCACCCCAGCCGACGCCCUUGCAGACCCCUCUCCCAUCAGCACUGGUGCCCGGAUACCUCUCUGUGCUGGGGCUGUCCUGUGCCCUGAGGGAUGCGUCACAGCAUCCCAGUUGUGACUUGACUCAAGGCCUGGACUAGAGCACACGCCCAAGAGGUGGUGUUUAUGGUUGAAAGAACAUGGGCAACAGGAAUCAGAUACGUGAGAAUGUUCUUUGAU